UGAAAACAAAUUUGCCUGAGUAUUUUUACCAAACCCUGAAAGCUUGAGCACAGACAAACACAGCAGGAUGUUGUGCAAUAUGGUGCUUGUCAUCUGUUUCAAAGACACAGUGAUGAGAUACAGCUCUGAUGCUUAGAUCACAGGAGGAAAGUAGGAUGCUGGUACCACAGAAGUAGUGUGCUCCAAACUUCGGGCUGUACCUACUGGCUGGGGAUGAAAUCUGCCUCCAGGCCUACGCUCCCCAAGCACCCUCAAAAUCAACACUUUGCCCUGCUCAUCCCCAGAUACACAGAAAGCCUGGGCAAGGGAAAUCCUCCCGGAUGAAACAUGGGAAGCUCCUGCUGAUGAACCUGCUUGGUCUCCCUCCUGGAUGUGUUCACAACCACACUCCCUGCUGUUGUUGGGACCUGGUAUGUCAACACGGCUCUCGACCUCUCCUCAUUGAAAUGUAUCUCAAAAAUCACCGUCCUUUUGUAGGCAAACCUUCCCUGCCUGGCAAAUAGGGAAUUUUGCCCUCCUUAAUGAGAGCUACGCUAUCUGAUGGCUGCCCGAUGAAGUAGGAGCUCAAGGAGGCCACCUCUACACUGAACAAUCCCAUACAUCAGAGGCCACCCCUUUGAAUUCAACAGUUUUUCUGGUGCUAAGAGAGAAUAUUGAAAACCUGGCCUUAAAUCACACUUUUCAGGUAAUACGCAGCAAUGAAUGGAAGAGAAAAGGAAGCCAGGAGGCUUAUAGGAUUUAAGGAGCUUCUUUUGAAAGAAGAAUCCACCCUGCUGCUGAUGGCCAGAUGCUCAUCUAUGCCUGGAGAUGUGCAAAUAAACAUAAGGUGUAAAGCUGUUAGCGGUGGUUCAUGGCAACAGACUAACUCCUGUCAAGGAAAAGCAGGUUAGGUAAACUUUUCAGGUGUUUGGAGGUGAAUCUUUUCAUUUGUGCACAGCCCUUGGUUGACCCAACUAUUUCACAUCAUUACCAAUUGCUUUGUUCGUAUGUAUCAAACUUCUUUCUUGUGCUUUAUUGGUUUUUGCUCUCGCUGACCUCUUCCAGCAGUUUACUUUCUAACAUCCUGAAAGCUUCAUCAUGACUGCUCAGUGCACCUCACCCAGGGCUGAGAUUAAAAGUUAAAAAAAGAGAAAGAGUGAACACAACGGGAGAGAAAACAGAAGAGAUUUUGGCAGCAACCUGGUGACACUCUGAAGUAAGUGAAAUGGGAUGGGUAACCACCUGGAAUAAUGGCAGGGGGAAAAAGAGAGAGAAGAAGCUCAGGGAAUUGGCUCAAACAGCAGGGCCUGGGCAAGAGGAUUAGGGGAAAUAGCAGUGUGAGCAGACCUCAGGAAUGGAGAAAGCAGAAAGCGUAUCAUCUCAGCUCUCUGUUCCAAAGAGAGGUGCCAAGACCAGUUAAAAAAAUGGAAUAUGGGCUUGUCUGAAUCACAACACAGAGCCCCAGUUCCUCAUAUCCAAUGGCUGCUUCUAUCCCAAACUAAAACUUCUAAGGUGCAAGAGAAGUCACAGAGUUAUCCAAAGUGAGAGAAGGAAGGAGAGAAAGUGGAAAUCAAACGGGAGAGCAAAUCUGCUUUCCACAUCUUACUGCAGCUGCAGGACACUUUGCUGUAGCACGGCCAGCAGAACAUCAAUAAUAUCCAUCCCAAGGGGUGCCUCAGAGUGACAUUUGUGGCCUCCCCACUGGGGUGUGGGGGACAGAAGGAGGUGAGAGUAUGUCAGCCUGGCCAAAGCUCACUCAGGCUGAACCCAGGACCUUCUGCCAUUUCUAUUCUGGGAACUCACCAAGGGGUUAUGUUUGGGUUGCCUAAACAGAACGUUGCUGCCAUUGAUAGAGGAUAAACAUUUUAUUCAGUAGCAGUGGGGGGAGAUUUGGGAGUCUGACUCUGCUCUGAAUGCGGGUGACAAUUGAAACAUUCAGUACACUUGC